GGGGCGCUAGCUCAAUUGGAAGAGCGCCGCCUUUGCAAGGCGGAGGUUACCGGUUCGAGACCGGUGCGCUCCA
rnacentral:tRNA from 2 species